rnacentral:rRNA from 1 species
GAAAGGCCAAUCAAACUCCGUGAUAGCUGGUUCUCCCCGAAAUGCAUUUAGGUGCAGCGUUGCGUGUUUCUUACUGGAGGUAGAGCUACUGGAUGGCCGAUGGGCCCUACUAGGUUACUGACGUCAGCCAAACUCCGAAUGCCGGUAAGUGAGAGCGUGGCAGUGAGACUGCGGGGGAUAAGCUUCGUAGUCGAGAGGGAAACAGCCCAGAUCGCCGGCUAAGGCCCCUAAGCGUGUACUAAGUGGAAAAGGAUGUGGGAUCGCUGAGACAACCAGGAGGUUGGCUUAGAAGCAGCCAUCCUUGAAAGAGUGCGUAAUAGCUCACUGGUCAAGUGAUCCUGCGCCGACAAUGUAGCGGGGCUCAAGUACACCGCCGAAGCCGCGGCACUCACACGUGUCAUUCGUGCUCACCGUUGGGUGGGUGUGUAGUGGUGUGGGUGGGUAGGGGAGCGUCCUGCAUCCGUGGAAGCAGCGGAGUGAUCCAGUUGUGGAGGGUGUGGGAGUGAGAAUGCAGGCAUGAGUAGCGAAAGACAAGUGAGAAACUUGUCCGCCGGAUGACCAAGGGUUCCUGGGCCAGGUUAAUCCGCCCAGGGUGAGUCGGGACCUAAGGCGAGGCCGACAGGCGUAGUCGAUGGACAACGGGUUGAUAUUCCCGUACCCGUGUAUCCGCGCCCAAUGGCGAGGCACUUGUACUAACCACCCAAAAGUCUUCUUUGAUUUCUUCGGAUUUCUCUGGGGAUGGCUGCGUGGGACCUCGGGUGUAGUAGUCAAGCGAUGGGGUGACGCAGGAAGGUAGCUGGGCCAGGUGAUGGUUGUCCUGGUGUAAGCCUGUAGGGAGAGGCAUAGGUAAAUCCGUGUCUCACUUGUUCCUGAGAGGUGAUGCGUAGCCGUUGUGGUGAAUUCAGUGAUCCUAUGCUGCCGAGAAAAGCCUCUAGUGAGUUGGUACACGGCCCGUACCCCAAACCGACACAGGUGGUCAGGUAGAGAAUACUAAGGCGAUCGAGAUAACUGUGGUUAAGGAACUCGGCAAAUUGCCCCCGUAACUUCGGGAGAAGGGGGACCACGGCUGGUGAUAGACGUUGCGUCUGGAGCUGGUGGUGGUCGCAGAGACCAGAGAGAAGCGACUGUUUACUAAAAACACAGGUCCGUGCGAAGUCGUAAGACGAUGUAUACGGACUGACGCCUGCCCGGUGCUGGAAGGUUAAGAGGACCGGUUAAUCAACAUUGUUGGUGAAGCUGAGAAUUUAAGCCCCAGUAAACGGCGGUGGUAACUAUAACCAUCCUAAGGUAGCGAAAUUCCUUGUCGGGUAAGUUCCGACCUGCACGAAUGGCGUAACGACUUCUCUGCUGUCUCAACCACAGACUCGGCGAAAUUGCAGUACGAGUAAAGAUGCUCGUUUCGCGCGGCAGGACGAAAAGACCCCGGGACCUUCACUAUAGCUUGGUAUUGGUGUUCGAUGCGGUUUGUGUAGGAUAGGUGGGAGACUGUGAAGCCGGCACGCUAGUGUUGGUGGAGUCGUUGUUGAAAUACCACUCUGAUCGUAUUGAGCUUCUAACCUCGGACCCUGAUCGGGUUCAGGGACAGUGCCUGGUGGGUAGUUUAACUGGGGCGGUUGCCUCCUAAAGUGUAACGGAGGCGCCCAAAGGUUCCCUCAGCCUGGAUGGCAAUCAGGUGUUGAGUGUAAGUGCACAAGGGAGCUUGACUGUGAGACGUACAUGUCGAGCAGGGACGAAAGUCGGGACUAGUGAUCCGGCACCGGCAAGUGGAAGCGGUGUCGCUCAACGGAUAAAAGGUACCCCGGGGAUAACAGGCUGAUCUUCCCCAAGAGUCCAUAUCGACGGGAUGGUUUGGCACCUCGAUGUCGGCUCGUCGCAUCCUGGGGCUGG